AAUGAAAUGUCUGAUAAAAGAAUUAUUCUGAUAGAAUAAAACAUGUAUAAUUUAAAAUACUUUCAUUU
rnacentral:tRNA from 1 species